CCAACAGCGGCUGCAGGGAUACAGUUUCCUAGCGGGGACGCUGUUGGAAGAAGACGACUUGUAAACCAAAAAUAAGACUCUUUGCAUCCCCGCAGCAGCUGCUCCGGCGUGCUGAUCCCGCAGCAUCCCCACGGGAGAUGGAAGGAUUUCCCACAAAACUGUAUCAGGUAUCUCAGUGAAUAACCCCCCCCAAUCUCACUGCACUGGUGGAAGCAAGUGAAGGGCUCUCAGUGCUCUCAGCUCCUCUCCAGCCCCAACUCCAUCUGUUCAUACCCUGUACAACCCUCUGGAGUCACCACACUAAGCUGCUCUGUUACCUUCUCUUUCCUCUCAGUGAAGGUCACAUUUUUAUUCAGGGUAGUUUUUUCCCCAUUGUCCUUUAGGAGUAGGCUUGUGAUGAAUCAAAAUAAACCACUUUUAAACACAUUAAAUAUAGGUUGCACCAGUUUAAUUAGGAUAAGUUGAAACGUCUCCCGAAAUUCAACCAGUGCAUAUUUCUUCAAUAAAAUGGCCAGUAAAAUAUUGAAAACCCAAAGGUGUGGUCAGGAUGUAUGAGCAGGAGAUGGUGCAGUAAGUGAAGGGGAAAGCACAGCAGUGGUUAUGAAAGGCAGCAUUAAAUGUACACAAGAGGUCUAUACAUCAAAAAUUUGCUUAGCAAAGAAGUACUGCUUUCGUGGAGUGCUACAGCUGAAUUAAAUUUGGAUUUUUAACAAAUGUUUCUACCUGGAAACUUAAUUAAAACAUAGUGGAUGCUGUGACUCAGUUUGCUAUUGCACAAAUAGAAAGAAUAAUUAUUUCGGUUGG